UCUUUACGAGCUGAACCGCCGCCGGAUGGCGUGCUUGUCUGAGAAAUCAGACUAGGCCGUAAAGACGAA
rnacentral:sRNA from 12 species